AGAGUUUGAUCCUGGCUCAGGACGAACGCUGGCGGCGUGCUUAACACAUGCAAGUCGAGCGGAAAGGCCCUUCGGGGUACUCGAGCGGCGAACGGGUGAGUAACACGUGAGCAACCUGCCCCUGGCUCUGGGAUAGCCUCCGGAAACGGGGAUUAAUACCGGACAUUCACUGCCUUCCGCAUGGUUGGCGGUGGAAAGUU
rnacentral:rRNA from 1 species